CCAAUUUUAUUUUUUUGAUGCGUGGACAUCGUGGACAUCCAGUACUGCACUUUUUAAUUUAGAAGGUGAAGGUGCUGCCCACCCAUGAUGCCAGCAAGGUGCGUGCAAGUGGAUCCGGCCUUAAAACCACUGGAGUGCCCACCUGUCUGCCAGUGAAGUUCAACAUUGAUGCCAAAGAUGCAGGACCCAGACGGGAAGCCCAAGAAGCAAAUAUCUGUGACAACCAUGAUGGGACCUACCUGGUGUCUUAUGUGCCAGACAUGACUGACAGCUGCUCAGUCCAUCCAGACUCCUCUCCAUAUGCAACAGUGAUGCCGGCUCUCUCCAAGUG